rnacentral:tRNA from 1 species
GGGGAUAUAGCUCAGUGGUAGGGCACAUGCUUUGCUUAUAUGAGGUCCCAGGUUCAGUCCCUGGCAUCUCCA